GUGGUUUAAUACAACUGCUUCACUAAAACCUCCUACCACUUACAACAGCUGCUGCUCAGAGGUUUACUCAUCUGAGAACUGAGAAUAUGAUGCUGUUUAAUGGCGUAUGAUUCAUGUAUUGUAUUGCUAUUUGAUGGGACUUUUGAUUAAUUAUAUAAUAAAGUAACUGAACACUCUGCUAAUGUGAAUGCAUUUACUGCAAAAACACAAAUAUUUGUAUAAUAUCAUGAACACAAUCAUGUACCAUCUGACCUGAUGAUGGUGCUAUAGAUUAAAGUCAGGGAAUCACAAAGUUUUUCCAAUUCAUACUGUGGAACAUGAAUGUAAUGUAUGUACCGGUAUGUAGUAUGUAUCAAGCUUUAGUUUCCACAGCUUUGGUUUUAGUUCCUCACACUCUUUAAAUAUUUUCCAGAAUCACUCACAGCUUACAGUCAGCCGUUUCUAUUCUUAAAACCACUACACCAAGAAAAUCCACCAGAAAAUAUAGGUAUGUAUUCAUUUGAGAUCUGAAUUUAAAAAAAGAAGAAGCUUUACAAGAUGAGCUGCGAGCAGAGGAAGAAGGUGGGGAAGAGGAGGUGUGAUGUAUGGCUCCACCUCUGAUACCAGAUUUCAGUCAGCCUUUAUGCCGUCAUUGCAAAUUUAAGAUGAAAACAACUGUGAAUUUAUUUGUCACUGUUGCACAGACCUUGAUUUAAGUUUCCAGGAUGCCUCCAGCUUUAUACACAUUUGGAUUUUUACUGCUUGUGCUCACACGAAAAGUGGAGAGUGUAACCUUUGAACAGUCCUCUUCUCAAGUAGUGAAGGAAGGGACUGAGGAGCUCAGGAUCAACUGCAGCCAUGACGGCAGCAACCUUCAGGCGAUGCUCUGGUACCAGCACCAACAGAGCGGUCAGUCUAUGAGCCUCAUCGGGUACAAGGUCCUCGACGCUAAACCGAACUACGAGGAGCAGUUUAAAAACUCCAGGUUCCAGAUUGAAGGAGGCAAAAUGAGAGGAUCUCUGAUCAUUCACAAAGUGAAUUCAUCAGACUCAGCUGUGUAUUUCUGCGCUGCUAGUACACAGUGAUGUGGUUUAAUACAACUGCUUCACUAAAACCUCCUACCACUUACAACAGCUGCUGCUCAGAGGUUUAGUCAUCUGAGAACUGAGAAUAUGAUGCUGUUUAAUGGCGUAUGAUUCAUGUAUUGUAUUGCUAUUUGAUGGGACUUUUGAUUAAUUAUAUAAUAAAGUAACUGAACACUCUGCUAAUGUGAAUGCAUUUACUGCAAAAACACAAAUAUUUAUAUAAUAUGAACACAAU